rnacentral:lncRNA from 1 species
GCCGAGUGGAGCUCCCGCCAUCUUGCCCCGCCCCCCCCACAGCCCAGUCACCUUUUCCCUUUCUACACUCUCUGUCCACCACUCCGUCCCUUUUCAAUCGUGUCCCAGGCCUCAGCAGCAGAAACCGCGCCAUCUCUACCCCUACAUUCUCCACGCGGGACGCGCAGCCGUGCCUACAAGUGUCCUUAAAGCAGAGGUUGUAGGGGGUGUGGGGAGCGGU